CGGUGGAGUAUGUGGCUUAAUUCGAUGCAACGCGAAGAACCUUACCAGGCCUUGACAUGCAUCUCUAAGUUGGUGAAAGCACGGCCCGGAAUUGACAGGUGUGACGAGCGCAACCCCUGUGAACUGUUGCCACCCGGGACGUCAAGCAGUAUGGCCCUUACGGCCUGGCUGCAUACAUGCCCAGCACAAACGAUCCAAGACCGCAAGGUGGAGGAUCACUAAAACUGGGCCCAGUUCAGAUUGGAGUGCAACUCGACUCCAUGAAGCCGGAAUCGCUAGUAAUGGGUAUCAGCUACGACGCCGUGAAUACGUUCCCGGGCCUUGUACACACCGCCGUCACAUCAUGGAAGUCACUUGUAGCCGAAGCCGGCGCGCCAACCAGCAAUGGAAGCAGCCGUCUACGUAUGACCGGUAACUGGGAUGAAGUCGUACAAGGU
rnacentral:rRNA from 1 species